rnacentral:rRNA from 1 species
UACGAAGUUUUCUAUCUUUUUUCUUAAUUACUUUUCUUCAAUCUUUCUCAUUCUUCUUCUCAAUUCAUUUUUUAAAGCCCAGAGCUCAACUCUGGAAUUGCCUUUGAGACUGAGUGGCUUGAGUGCGAGAGAGGUGAGUGGAAUUCCCAGUGUAGAGGUGAAAUUCGUAGAUAUUGGGAAGAACACCGGUGGCGAAGGCGGCUCACUGGCUCGUAACUGACGCUCAUGCACGACAGCGUGGGGAUCAAACAGG